rnacentral:rRNA from 1 species
GGUUGACCUCGGAUCAGGUAGGGAUACCCGCUGAACUUAAGCAUAUCAAUAAGCGGAGGAAAAGAAACCAACAGGGAUUGCCUCAGUAACGGCGAGUGAAGCGGCAAGAGCUCAAAUUUGAAAGCUGGCCCCCUCGGGGUCCGCGUUGUAAUUUGCAGAGGAUGCUUCGGGAGCGGCCCCCAUCUAAGUGCCCUGGAACGGGCCGUCAUAGAGGGUGAGAAUCCCGUC